UACACUCUAAAAAAUCCGGGGUUAUUUUUUCUACCCAAAUGCUGGGUUGAGCCAUUUGGGUAAUUUUUUUGGGUUAUUUUUGCAGUCUUGGGUAGUUUUUUGGGUAGUUUUAUGUAACCCCACCACUGGGUUAUUUUCUGGGUAAUUUUCACUGAGAGUGGAAUCAAUACACCCCCUCCCCCUCCCGGACUCAACAACCCAGCUCAUUGGGUCAAAUCAUCUCGGCGCAGAUUCAGGUGCAGCACACGGGCUGACUGAAUUUGAGGUGGAUGCAACGCAGACUGAUAUUUGGAGAAAUAAGUUAAAGCAGCCCAUCCCCCGCUGUACAGCAGUGCUGCUGGGUCAAAAUAACCCUUUUGCUGGAUCAUCUGUCGCGGGGAUUUUGGAUCGUCAGCAGGACUUUACAAGCAGACAUUCUUCAGCGGUUCUUUUCUGGUGAAAUAAAGGGGUGGCGAACGUCGGUCCUGGAUAGCCGCAGUCCUGCAGAGUUUAACUCCAGCUCUAAUCAAACACACCUGAACAGGUAAUCAAGGUCUAAAGAGUUACUAGAAAACCUUCAGACAGGUGGUCUGAGUUUCCAUGAGUUUCCUCGGCUAACUACCCCAGGCAUGAUUGCACAAGACUUUUACACAUUACACCAGGAUGCAGCUCCAAAACUCUUCGAGAAAUGGCUCCCUUGAUAUACCGAUAGGAUCUUGCAAAGCUUCCAUGUUCAGUUGAGGAGAUGACACAAGAUGCAAACGGAUAUCUUGCAUUAAAGCUGCUCCCUGUUUUGCUUCCACCUCCACCCUUCAAAACUGCCAGAAAAACUCCGGCCCAGCAUUGAUGAUGGCAAAAAAGCUUUCAUCGACAUUCAGCCUGUUGGAACAAAUAUGAUGGAGUACCUCCAGCAGGCUGAAGCAUCAGGACUUUACCCUUAUUUCCUGUCACUUGAAAAUGGACACAUGAGUCCCAGGCAUUCGUCAUCCUUGGAGGAGAAACUUUGGACAAGGCACUUUGAUUGGGGUAGUAGAAGCACUACAUUCUUGCAAGUAAAUGAUUAGAGGUUUUUUGAAUAGACUGGGUUUCAGGUACAGGAGUUAUCUUUUUUUUUUUUUACAGACUUAAAGGUGCUCUAAGCGAAUCUGUGUGAUGUUACUUUUUGUUGAUGUUUGAACUGUUUUCAAACAAACGGAGCGUAGCUAACUCCUUCCCUCCCUUCCAUGCUUUCAUGAACGCGUCCAACCCUCAACCCCAAAUCCUUCUUGUCGUUAAUUGGCUGAAACACUUUGUUAUCCUUUCUGGUAGUAGGUUUGGCCACUUUGUUUUUAUUGCAGUUUGUGGAGCCUAGGCUGUCUACAGAGAUCACGUUUUUUACAGUUUGAUCAGCGGACAGGCAGCAAGCAGAUAGUGAGGAGAUGUUUGCUGUAUGUAACAAAAAAUGUUUUAUGGUCUAAAAUGCGUUAAUUCGCUUAGAGCACCUUUAAGGAAGAGAAUUACUUGAUGAAUAUUAAUGACAUGUUUAUGAAAUGUUACACUGGCAAAAUGCUGUAUUUCAUAGUUUUUUUUGUGUGUGUUCAUAAUGUAGACUAAAACAAUACUGCUUUGUAACAAACAGUUGUUCUUAAAGGUAUUUUAUGAAUUUCAUGAAUUUUUUAAAAAUGUUAAAACAUAUAGGGGCGGUUUCACGGACAAGGAUAAGACUAGUCCUAGAAUAAAGUAAAUGUAAGAGCUGUCCAAACUGAAAACUACUUACACAGACAUAUCUUAAAAUUCACCAGUGCCCUUUGUUUUCCCUCAAAAUGCCCACAAGUAAUGUUUUUAUUAAGACAUGUUUGUUCAAACUUGUUAUAUUUCCUAAUUAAUAACUAAGGACUAGCCAAUCCCUGUCCGGGAAACCACUCCUUACACUUUUGCAAUUAGAGGCAAGUGAAGAAAUUGUUUAAAAUUGUUUAAAAAUGGAAUUUUAUUAUUUAUUGUAUUUAUAGUUUUGUAUGAUCUCCUGAAUUUUUGAUUGAGCUAUUGUGUACAAAGUGUACGUUACACACAUUGUAUUUGUUACAUUACACAAAGUGUAAUAUGCUAAAAAAUAUUAAUGAAAAAUAAAGUUAAUACAAUGUUGA